UAUGGAUCUGUGAUGUUAUAAUUAAACUGCGUUAUCUAUCUGAUACUUCCUCAGGGAAUUGAAGAUAACUAUAAUUUGCUGAGAUCUGUU
rfam:Lupinus angustifolius cultivar Tanjil chromosome LG07, whole genome shotgun sequence.